ensembl:misc_RNA Metazoa_SRP Metazoan signal recognition particle RNA
GCCGGGCGUAGUGGCUCACGCCUGUAAUCCCAGCACUUUGGGAGGCCGAGGUGGGUGGAUCACCUGAGGUCAGGAGUUCGAGACCAGCCUGGCCAACAUGGUGAGACCCGAUCUCUA